GCCACCAUGGCUCAGUGGUUAGAACACUGGUCUCGUAAACCAGCGGUUGUGAGUUCGACUCUCACUGGUGGCU
rfam:Stegodyphus mimosarum contig63016, whole genome shotgun sequence.